CGAUGAUCCCAGCUUGCUGGGGGAUUAGUGGCGAACGGGUGAGUAACACGUGAGUAACCUGCCCUUGACUCUGGGAUAAGCCUGGGAAACUGGGUCUAAUACCGGAUACGACCAUCUGGCGCAUGUCAUGGUGGUGGAAAGCUUUUGUGGUUUUGGAUGGACUCGCGGCCUAUCAGCUUGUUGGUGGGGUAAUGGCCUACCAAGGCGACGACGGGUAGCCGGCCUGAGAGGGUGACCGGCCACACUGGGACUGAGACACGGCCCAGACUCCUACGGGAGGCAGCAGUGGGGAAUAUUGCACAAUGGGCGCAAGCCUGAUGCAGCGACGCCGCGUGAGGGAUGACGGCCUUCGGGUUGUAAACCUCUUUCAGUAGGGAAGAAGCGAAAGUGACGGUACCUGCAGAAGAAGCGCCGGCUAACUACGUGCCAGCAGCCGCGGUAAUACGUAGGGCGCAAGCGUUAUCCGGAAUUAUUGGGCGUAAAGAGCUCGUAGGCGGUUUGUCGCGUCUGCUGUGAAAGACCGGGGCUCAACUCCGGUUCUGCAGUGGGUACGGGCAGACUAGAGUGCAGUAGGGGAGACUGGAAUUCCUGGUGUAGCGGUGAAAUGCGCAGAUAUCAGGAGGAACACCGAUGGCGAAGGCAGGUCUCUGGGCUGUAACUGACGCUGAGGAGCGAAAGCAUGGGGAGCGAACAGGAUUAGAUACCCUGGUAGUCCAUGCCGUAAACGUUGGGCACUAGGUGUGGGGGACAUUCCACGUUUUCCGCGCCGUAGCUAACGCAUUAAGUGCCC
rnacentral:rRNA from 2 species